rnacentral:rRNA from 1 species
GCGUAACAGCUCACUGGUCGAGCGACAGGGCAUCUAUAAUAAUCGGGCAUCAAGUACAAUACCGAAGCUUAGGUAGUAUUUAUACUAGGUAGGGGAGCAUUCAAUGGGCGGUGAAGGUGAAGCGUGAGCUUUGCUGGAGCGUAUUGAAGCGCAAAUGUAGGCAUAAGUAACGAUAAAGCGGGCGAGAAACCCGCUCACCGAUAGACUAAGGUUUCCUGAACAACGCUAAUCGGUUCAGGGUUAGUCGGGACCUAACGCGAACCCG